ACAACUAUACUUUCAGGGAUCAUUUCUAUAGUUCAUUAAAAGGGACUUUGAUGAAGUAAGAGUUAAGAGAAUCAAAGAUGAUGUUGAAGUGCCAAGUUUGA
rnacentral:snoRNA from 1 species